AGCCUGGCCGGGUGGUCCGUCUAACGGCGUUGUACUGUCUGGCUGGGCUUUACCUCUUGGUGAGCCGGCGUGCCCUUAACUGGGUGCGUCGGGGAACCAGGACUUUUACCUUGAGAAAAUUAGAGUGUUCAAAGCAGGCAUAUGCCCGGAUACAUUAGCAUGGAAUAAUGAAAUAGGACG
rnacentral:rRNA from 1 species